rnacentral:rRNA from 1 species
UGCAAGUCGAGCGGCAGCGCGGGGGCAACCCUGGCGGCGAGCGGCGAACGGGUGAGUAACACAUCGGAACGUACCCUAUCGUGGGGGAUAGCUCGGCGAAAGCCGGAUUAAUACCGCAUAAGACCUGAGGGUGAAAGCGGGGGAUCGCAAGACCUCGCGCGAUUGGAGCGGCCGAUGUCGGAUUAGCUAGUUGGUGAGGUAAAGGCUCACCAAGGCGACGAUCCGUAGCUGGUCUGAGAGGACGACCGGCCACACUGGAACUGAGACACGGUCCAGACUCCUACGGGAGGCAGCAGUGGGGAAUUUUGGACAAUGGGGGAAACCCUGAUCCAGCCAUUCCGCGUGAGUGAAGAAGGCCUUCGGGUUGUAAAGCUCUUUCGGCAGGAACGAAACGGUGGAGGCUAAUACCCUCCAUCAAUGACGGUACCUGAAGAAGAAGCACCGGCUAACUACGUGCCAGUAGCCGCGGUAAUACGUAGGGUGCGAGCGUUAAUCGGAAUUACUGGGCGUAAAGCGUGCGCAGGCGGCUUUGUAAGACAGGUGUGAAAUCCCCGGGCUUAACCUGGGAACUGCGCUUGUGACUGCAAGGCUUGAGUGCGGCAGAGGGGGGUGGAAUUCCACGUGUAGCAGUGAAAUGCGUAGAGAUGUGGAGGAACACCGAUGGCGAAGGCAGCCCCCUGGGUCGACACUGACGCUCAUGCACGAAAGCGUGGGUAGCAAACAGGAUUAGAUACCCUGGUAGUCCACGCCCUAAACGAUGCCAACUAGGUGUUGGGGAAGGAGACUUCCUUAGUACCGUAGCUAACGCGUGAAGUUGGCCGCCUGGGGAGUACGG